rnacentral:rRNA from 1 species
GACGGAGGGUGCUAGCGUUGUUCGGAAUGACUGGGCGUAAAGGGCGCGUAGGCGGCUCGUGAAGUCGGGUGGUGAAAGCCCGGGGCUCAACCCCGGAACGGCAUCCGAUACUGGCGGGCUUGAGACCGGGAGAGGAGGGUGGAAUACCCAGUGUAGAGGUGAAAUUCGUAGAUAUUGGGUGGAACACCGGUGGCGAAAGCGGCUCUCUGGCCCGGAUCUGACGCUGAGGCGCGAAAGCGUGGGGAGCAAACAGGG